GACGAACGCUGGCGGCGUGCUUAACACAUGCAAGUCGAACGGAAAGGCCCUGCUUUUGUGGGGUGCUCGAGUGGCGAACGGGUGAGUAACACGUGAGUAACCUGCCCUUGACUUUGGGAUAACUUCAGGAAACUGGGGCUAAUACCGGAUAGGAGCUCCUGCUGCAUGGUGGGGGUUGGAAAGUUUCGGCGGUUGGGGAUGGACUCGCGGCUUAUCAGCUUGUUGGUGGGGUAGUGGCUUACCAAGGCUUUGACGGGUAGCCGGCCUGAGAGGGUGACCGGCCACAUGGGGACUGAGAUACGGCCCAGACUCCUACGGGAGGCAGCAGUGGGGAAUAUUGCACAAUGGGCGGAAGCCUGAUGCAGCAACGCCGCGUGCGGGAGGACGGCCUUCGGGUUGGAAACCGCUUUCGCCUGUGACGAAGCGUGAGUGACGGGAAUGGGUAAAGAAGCACCGGCUAACUACGU
rnacentral:rRNA from 1 species